GCUAACAUAGCUCAGUGGCAGAGCGUCAGACUGAAAAUCUGAAGGUCAUACGUUCGAUUCUUGUUGUUGGCA
rnacentral:tRNA from 1 species